rnacentral:rRNA from 1 species
UACGUAGGGGGCUAGCGUUGUCCGGAAUCAUUGGGCGUAAAGCGCGUGUAGGCGGUCCGGUAAGUCCGCUGUGAAAGUCGGGGGCUCAACCCUCGAAUGCCGGUGGAUACUGUCGGGCUAGAGUGCGGAAGAGGCGAGUGGAAUUCCUGGUGUAGCGGUGAAAUGCGCAGAUAUCAGGAGGAACACCUAUUGCGAAGGCAGCUCGCUGGGACGUAACUGACGCUGAGACGCGAAAGCGUGGGGAGCAAACAGG